GUUUUCUUAACACUAUAGUGUUUCUUUUAGUCAAACCAAAGAGAUCCACUUUUUUUUUAAUUCACAGGAAAGAUCAUUGUAUGUCGUCUUCAUCCUUUUGAGGCUCAAGAAACCAAGGACUGGCACUGAUUUUUGCAAAAUAUGUCAAGUUGACUCCUUUUGGAGAUGUCAUUAGUCUAGGGGUUCACAUACUUUUUCCACCUGCACUGUGAAUGUUUAC